GACGAACGCUGGCGGCGCGCCUAACACAUGCAAGUCGAACGGAGCUGAGAGAAGCUUGCUUUUCUUAGCUUAGUGGCGAACGGGUGAGUAACGCGUGAGUAACCUGCCCUGGAGUGGGGGACAACAGUUGGAAACGACUGCUAAUACCGCAUAAGCCCACGAUCCGGCAUCGGAUUGAGGGAAAAGGAUUUAUUCGCUUCAGGAUGGACUCGCGUCCAAUUAGCUAGUUGGUGAGGUAACGGCCCACCAAGGCGACGAUUGGUAGCCGGACUGAGAGGUUGAACGGCCACAUUGGGACUGAGACACGGCCCAGACUCCUACGGGAGGCAGCAAUGGGGGAUAUUGCACAAUGGGGGAAACCCUGAUGCAGCGACGCCGCGUGGAGGAAGAAGGUUUUCGGAUUGUAAACUCCUGUCGUUAGGGACGAUAAUGACGGUACCUAACAAGAAAGCACCGGCUAACUACGUG
rnacentral:rRNA from 1 species